CCUACGGGUGGCAGCAGUGAGGAAUAUUGGUCAAUGGGAGAGAUCCUGAACCAGCCAAGCCGCGUGAGGGAAGACGGCCCUAUGGGUUGUAAACCUCUUUUGUCGGAGAACAAAACCCGGGACGUGUCCCGGACUGCGUGUACUCGAAGAAAAAGCAUCGGCUAACUCCGUGCCAGCAGCCGCGGUAAUACGGAGGAUGCGAGCGUUAUCCGGUUUUAUUGGGUUUAAGGGGUGCGUAGGCGGUCCGUUAAGUCAGCGGGAAAAUUGCGGGGCUCAACCCCGUCGAGCCGUUGAAACUGGCAGACUUGAGUUGACGAGAGGUACGCGGAAUGCGCGGUGUAGCGGUGAAAUGCAUAGAUAUCGCGCAGAACUCCGAUUGCGAAGGCAGCGUACCGGCGCCAGACUGACGCUGAGGCACGAAAGCGUGGGGAUCGAACAGGAUUAGAUACCCCAGUAGUC
rnacentral:rRNA from 1 species